rnacentral:rRNA from 1 species
UACGGAGGGGGCUAGCGUUGUUCGGAAUUACUGGGCGUAAAGCGCACGUAGGCGGCUUUGUAAGUUAGAGGUGAAAGCCCAGGGCUUAACCCUGGAAUUGCCUUUAAGACUGCAUCGCUCGAAUUGUGGAGAGGUGAGUGGAAUUCCGAGUGUAGAGGUGAAAUUCGUAGAUAUUCGGAAGAAACACCAGUGGCGAAGGCGACUCACUGGACACAUAUUGACGCUGAGGUGGCGAAAAGCGUGGGGAGCAAACAGG